UACGUAGGAUCCAAGCGUUGUCCGGAUUUACUGGGUGUAAAGGGUGCGCAGGUGGACUUGUUAGUCAGAGGUGAAAUCUCACGGCUCAACCGUGAAACUGCCUUUGAUACUGCAGGUCUUGAAUUGGGGAGAGAGUUGUGGAAUUCCGAGUGUAGCAGUGAAAUGUGUAGAUAUUCGGAAGAACACCAGUGGCGAAGGCAGCAACUUGGCCCUAUAUUGACGCUCAGGCACGAAAGCAUGGGGAUCAAACAGG
rnacentral:rRNA from 1 species